UUGAACCUCAUAUUUCAUUCCAAAGGUCACUCACGAGACAAGCAAGUUACAGCACAAGUCGAAAACCCUAACCUCUCUUCCAUCUCUCUCUCUCCCUGCCCACAGUCCCACUUCACUCUCCACGGUGCCGCCUCUCUUGUUUUCUCAGCAAAUCGCCAACAUCGGCAGAUGCCGGUCGCUGAUUGUCCACGGUCAAGGGUCGCCGGAAUACAGAUACAGAUGGACAUACAGAGUUAGUUGGCUAAAUGAGCAGGCGUAGAUGAUGGGAUUUGCGAACCAUUAGUUGCAGGUAAUGAAUAGCUGGAUUUGAGCCGAUGACUUCAUUUUAUCAAGCCAUUGAAGGAUCCAGUUGCCAAGGUUUUGCCCAACUUCAAUAUCCCUUUCUUGUAUCUUGCAAUGAACUGUGAGUGCAACAUCAAAUGCAGCUCCCUAGCUUUUCUUAUUUCAAUUGACACCUACAAGUGCUAAUUUUAAGGGAAUUUGAAGUGAUCUGGUGGCACUCAUUCCUGUGUUGCUUGCCUAAAAUGUCAUUGAAAAGCUGAAGGGGAAAGGUGGAACAUGGCCUCAAUGACACCCAUUAAUAAGUUUACAUGCUGAAGAUUGAUAGGCCCCAAAGGCAGGUGAAUAUUUCCAUUUAGUUAGUCAAAGUAAGCGGGUUGUAUUAUAGGAUUUUGUGGAAUAAAGUGAAUAUGUGUCUAAUUAUAAAUUGAAAGUGAGGUGUUCAUUUCAUUUUAGGCAGGAAUUAUUGUGUCAAAUUGGAUACUUGACAUUUUGUUAGAUAUUUGAAGCAUUACGCUUCCCCUAGUUCCUGAUCUUUCAUUUUAGACUUUUCCUCAACCUGCCCCAGCUUUUAGAGCUGAUUUAUUUUUCAUAGCCAAGAAAUUUAAGGUUGUGGAAUAUUUUAAACACGGUCAAUUGUUCGAAACUGGAAAAGAAUUGGAGAUUAUAGAAAGCGUAGUUAAAAGCCCAUACCUGCUCUAGUACUGUACUCCUACAGCUAAACUUUGAACCCCUCAAAGUGAUGUUACAAUUUGUUGGAGGUUGAUGACAGAUUGCAGGUAGCAUAUGAUGUGUAACUUCAUGCAUUUUCUCUUUCUUUUUCUUCCUUUUGUUGUAUGUGGGUUCAUAUUUCCUUUUGCAGUCUUUAAGUAAUGAAAAACUAAGCAAUUAGUUAUUAGUGGUUUUAGUUAUAGUUAUGGAUAAAUGGCCUGGUCAUGUGUUUGCUACUUUGUCCAUCGUUUUUAUGCUACGAGUUACAUAUUAGACUUUUAAUAUUGUUGAAAUGUUUUACUAUUGCUUUUUUUAGAUGGUUUAUCAUUUACGAGUAUAAUUUUUGUUCUCUACAUUUUUCAAAUUUUUUCUGAGAGUUUUUUUUGCAAUGUUACUUAUGAAUCUCUCAUAUUUAGCACUUCAUGUCUGAUUCUUACUUUCUCCCCAUCUUCAUUGUUGCUGUGGCUUAGACUUAGUUCAUACACAUCCUACCAAAUUUUAGCUGCAUAGAGAACAGGAAAACGUUGACAUGGCGUCACCCAACAGAAUGCCUGUAGAUUAGGAGCUUAUGGCUUUGGUUAGAACAUCUGGGAUUCAGCAAUUUAAUGAGCAAGAUAUAUGAUCUAUCUCAGUAUUCAAUGAAUGAACUUGCUGAUGAGGCUGUUACAUGUCUCAAGUGUGUGAAUGAUCCACAAUUCCUAUUCUCAGCACAAGGCAUUGAAAUUUCAAAGAGUUGUAGUUGUGGGAUGUGGAAAUUCAGGCAUGGAAGUGUCCCCUGAUCUUUGCAAUUAUGAUGCAAAACCUUCAAUGGUUGUUCGGAGCUUGAUGAGUAAUACACAACACAUAACAGUGACUUUCAUUCAUCCAUUUUCUUUCAAGAAAAUUGAGUCCCAGUAUGUAGAUUCUAAUGUGGUUUAUGGGUUUUCUUUUUAGGUUCAUGUAUUGCUAAUGAUUCUUACUUAUUUUUCUUUGCUUUUCUUCUCGAUUAUUAAUUGGUACAAAUGUCUAAAAUGUGGCAUCUAUCUUUAUCUCCUUUUUUAUAGGACAGGACCAAUAUUUAAGGCACAACUCAUGUCGAAGAUUACUGAGAAGAAAAUUAAGGAGACUGAUAGUAUGGUUUCACUUACUACUUAGUGGGUUUUUUUUUUUUGGAAAAAUGUAUAGGAUUUUUAGGUGUGUGAGAAUUUUGGAUCUGGAUUUUGUAUGAAUAUUGUUACAUUUUAAAGUUCAAUUAAUAAUGAUUAUUGAAGUUAUUUGAUA